GAAAAGGCAAGAGUACAAAUAAUCCUUUACAGCCUUCAGAUAGAAUGCAGCCCUGAUGGCAGCUUGAUUUUAGCUCUUGUCAGAAUUCUGACCUGCUAAAAUGGAAAAAAACAAACCAACCAACAAACUGAGCCUGAAACUGAUAACACAGAUACGUACAGCAUCAUAUUUAAGUAACCAAUCGGAAUUAUUGCAGUGGAGAUGUUUUAUUGGUGGGAAAUACGGUAUCACACCAUUUCAGACAUCAGGAGAUAAUUAUCCCUGUCUUCUCGGAACCAGCUUCUUCAAAGGAGUCAGGAAUUAUUUAUGAUAGAAACUACUGAAACAAUACUAAGGAGUUCAUAGGUUGCUGAGAAGGUAGCUUCCUGCCCUCUGCUUGAGGAACACGGAUGGAAGAAAGGAGAAGAUCUGGUCAACACAGCUCCUGAAAUGCUGAUUAAGCAUUAUGGGAUUUAAGGUUUCCUGGCCAAGUCUGAGCUAAAAUGUU
rnacentral:lncRNA from 10 species